UCCAAUUCUAAAAAAUUCACAAUGAACCACAAAAAAAAUUUCCUCACAUUAGCAAGCUGAUGGCAGCAAAAAAAUCCCUAUAAAGAGAUAGAGGGAUAGCUAAUUCCUCAUAUUAUACAUUACCACAAUAGCAUCCAGUGACAAUGGCCAAAUUGGCAGCAUAUGAGGCGACUACAUUAGCUAUGCCAAGAGCCUUCCGGUGCUUUGAAACCAAUCCAGCUCCUCCACCAACGACCCCUGCAAUCAAUUAUCUCAGAUAUCACCUAUAAAUCGAAGAGAAAUCGGAUACUUUUGACAAAUUUUCGAAGUUUAAAUUAACCAAGAGCACAAAUUCGUGAAUCCAAGUAACGGACACAGAUGGGAAAGAAAAAAAAAGAUAAAGGAAAAAGGAGCCAUCCAAGAAGGUAUCCUCGAAUCGGAUCUAUAGAUGAUAUUAGAAGUGAAAACUGAAUCGAAUUUACAGUAACGAAGGAUUCGGGGGAAGGGGGAGAGAGAACCUGCGAGUACAGUGGGGAUGAUGAUGCGCUGCUUCCAGCCGUCCGAUGGUCGACUUCGCGGGAUCGAGCCCUCCGAAGUCAUCUGGUGUUCGCUGCCUCCCACCGGCGGCCCGGCUACGAGAAGGCCGAGGAGAAGCGAGACGGAUCAGAAAACGAAAUUGAUUUUUUAUUAUAUAAAAA
rnacentral:lncRNA from 1 species